UGCCAGCCGCCGCGGUAAUACGGAGGGUGCAGGCGUUGUUCGGAAUUACUGGGCGUAAAGCGCGCGUAGGUGGUUAUAUAAGUCAGAUGUGAAAGUCCACGGCUCAACCGUGGAAGUGCAUUUGAAACUGUAUAACUUGAGUACUGGAGGGGGUAGUGGAAUUCCCGGUGUAGAGGUGAAAUUCGUAGAUAUCGGGAGGAAUACCGGUGGCGAAGGCAUUCUGCUGGUCAUUACCUGACGCUGAGGGACGAAAGCGUGGGGAGCGAACGGGAUUAGAUA
rnacentral:rRNA from 1 species